UACGGAGGGUGCAAGCGUUAUCCGGAUUCACUGGGUUUAAAGGGUGCGUAGGAGGGCAGGUAAGUCAGUGGUGAAAUCUCCAAGCUUAACUUGGAACUGCCGUUGAUACUAUCUGUCUUGAAUACCGUGGAGGUGAGCGGAAUAUGUCAUGUAGCGGUGAAAUGCUUAGAUAUGACGUAGAACACCAAUUGCGAAGGCAGCUCGCUACACGAAUAUUGACUCUGAGGCACGAAAGCGUGGGGAUCAAACAGGA
rnacentral:rRNA from 1 species